UGCAAUCUAUGAUGUAAUUUAUUUAUUGGUUCGGAUUUACUGUGAUGAUCAUAAAAAAAUCACCAUCUUUCGGCUGAGAUUGCA